AACACACGUCAACGCCGUUCUGAUAGUACGAACGUGCGAUGUUAUCUUUAUCACGGUCGGCUAAAAAUGUCAUGAGUCAUAACCGUCGUCGUCAGCGAUAACUGGAAAACCAAUUUGAUUAGUAGAUGCGCGGUCAUUACGCUAUAAUAUGACUACGGGAAAUAUUUUCCGUCUACAAGAAUUUGUUUUCUUUUAAUCGAAGAAGGUCUUUCGAGUUUAAAAACCUGAAAAAAUAAUUUAUAGUACAGUGCAAUAAUGUUUCAAAAAAAAACA